rnacentral:rRNA from 1 species
UACGUAGGAGGCAAGCGUUGUCCGGAAUUACUGGGCGUAAAGCGCGUGUAGGUGGUGGGACAAGUCUGCUGUGAAAGCGCCUGGCUUAACCGGGCGAGGUCGGCGGAAACUGUCGCACUCGAGGACGGUAGAGGGGGGUGGAAUUCCCGGUGUAGUGGUGAAAUGCGUAGAGAUCGGGAGGAACACCAGUGGCGAAGGCGUCUACCUGGCCUAAUACUGACACUGAGGCACGAAAGCGUGGGGAGCAAACAGG